rnacentral:tRNA from 1 species
GGGGCAUUAGCUCAGUUGGCUAGAGCGUCUGCCUUGCAAGCAGAAGGUCAACGGUUCAAAUCCGUUAUGCUCCACCA